rnacentral:rRNA from 1 species
GACGAACGCUGGCGGCGUGCCUAAUACAUGCAAGUCGAGCGCAGGAAAUCGACGGAACCCUUCGGGGGGAAGUCGACGGAAUGAGCGGCGGACGGGUGAGUAACACGUAAAGAACCUGCCCUCAGGUCUGGGAUAACCACGAGAAAUCGGGGCUAAUACCGGAUGGGUCAUCGGACCGCAUGGUCCGAGGAUGAAAGGCGCUCCGGCGUCGCCUGGGGAUGGCCUUGCGGUGCAUUAGCUAGUUGGUGGGGUAAUGGCCCACCAAGGCGACGAUGCAUAGCCGACCUGAGAGGGUGAUCGGCCACACUGGGACUGAGACACGGCCCAGACUCCUACGGGAGGCAGCAGUAGGGAAUCUUCCACAAUGGACGAAAGUCUGAUGAGCAACGCCGCGUGAACGAUGAAGGCCUUCGGGUCGUAAAGUUCUGUUGUAAGGGAAGAACAAGUGCCGCAGGCAAUGGCGGCACCUUGACGGUACCUUGCGAGAAAGCCACGGCUAUCUACGUGCCAGCCGCCGCGGUAAAAC